AAUUGGAAUGAUUGAUCAAGUAAUCAGGUAACAGUUUAAAAUGUCACUCCUAGUUGAAUUUCAACAUGGUGUAGAGUGGCACCUCACAACAGAUUUGAAUUCCAUAUCAUAUAACAUUUUCUAUUAUUUGUACGUUAUUUUUGCAGUCCAUAAUUGGCCUGUUAAGACAGGUCAAGUCUGGUCAAUCUCCAUCUUAUCUCCGCGCAUCUCUCCAUACUCACCGCAUUCCACUGGCCUGUUAAGAUAGGUCAGUGUUGCUGACGUUGUUGUACAUGAACCUACACAAUCACCAUGAUCCCUUGGGACCUCACAGAAAGUAGGUUGAAAAUUAACCCAUGGUAGGAUAUUACUAUAAUAUGCUUCAUUGUGAUGAAUCAAUUAUAUUUUAUUCUCUUUAAUAAUAUAUAAUUGGUUCAUCAUAAUAUAGCAUAUUACACAUUAUCACG
rnacentral:lncRNA from 1 species